ensembl:lncRNA
UGAGCAGCAAGAGAGCAGGUCUAAGAGAUGGGAACCUGCUUGCACACUGUAAAGAAAGAAUAAGGAACUCCUGGCUUGCUGGCUCUGUCUCUGCAGCCAGGGAGGAGCCUGCAGACUUGCUGCCCCACUCUUCUGUAUCAGAAACCUAUUUGACCAUGCUGCAAUUCCCUGAGCUACAAACUAGAUAAAGGCUUUUACUGGAACAUGGCAAGUAACUGUAUGUUCAGGCUGACUAGUAGUAAAGCUGUGGAAUCUUUCUCAAAGAUCAUUCUGCUGGAUAGCUGAUUCCUCAGGAAUCCUAUUUUAGGAUUAAUAGGCACUUGCAUCAUUUUGGUCCUAUGUGCUGUUUUAAGGAGCAUCUACAUCAUCAUCAAAUAUUUUUAUUGUGCUGACAGUGCACACAAAGUGAAAUGUGAAGGCAGACCGGGAUGGUGGGCACGCUCAGACGGCGCUAGAAAUCAUAUCUGUGGCAGAAAUCGUGAACAGAUCACCCAAAAACCUGGAGGGACGCGCGCGGCAGCUCCCAAAAGCCCGAGGCUUGCCGCUAGAUGGCAAACUUUAAUUUUCAAAUCCUGGAGCUGCCACCGCUCCUGC